ACGAUCAUGAAGACAGACAAGCAAAAAGGAACUCUCCACUCUGCUCCACUUUUCAUUUCCACACCUUUUAGGACGAACCUGGUUUCCCUGGGAAUUUUGUCUGCUAUGGUCAUUCAACCUUGUCCUUAAGAGCAAUGACACUUCCUGUGACUGAGAAGGCAGCGUAAGCCGUCAGGAAUCAGCCGGCACAGACGCCUGUCCUCCACACCCUUCCUCACCACGUGUGCACGCACACACAUGCACAGCAGCAAUAAGCCUCCUGAAGGCUGACAGGUGCCUAACAUCACUGAGACGUUUAGAAGCCAGACUCAGGAAAGGCAGAAACAGGGCUGGAGGACAGAGCAGAAUGCUCCUCGACUACUGACAAUGCUCACAUCGCAGAGAUUAUCAACAUCAUGUGUGAAGUACACUUUCCACUAAAUGCUCCAGAUCAUCACCAAUGAGGCUCUGGAGCACAUCCAGAAAUAUCUACCAUGUUUAUUGCAACAGAGGAGCCCAGUAACAGCAGCGAAGAAAGCAGAGAGGAGAAAGAUGUGCUCAAGUUCAACAGGCUGGGAGUGUUCAGCUGCAAGACUUCUCAGCCAGAAAGGACCAAAGGCUGGGCGGAAGGGAUUGCAUUUACACGUCAGAAAAGCAUGUAACAAGUGUGUAUGUGCUCUAGCCUGCCCAAUGCCUAGAAACUCCCAUACCAACGCAACCAACAUCUGGAUGUCUUCAACUAUCUCACGAACAGUGCAACUUUUUUUUUUUCCCUGUGCAGAUGAAAUUUUUACUUUGUGUAAGUCAGGUGUCUGUGCACCUGAAGGCUGAUGGGCCACCGUUAGUGCCUGUCUCCUCAAAGAACAUGGUUUUUACAACAUGGGAAGUAGGGAUGUGGUGGCAUACACCUUUAAUCCCAGUACUAGUGAGACAGAGGAAGGCAGAUCUCUGAGUUUGAGACCAGCCUGUACUACAGAGCGAGUCCAGGACAGCCAGGCCUACCCACAG